GGCUCAGAUUGAACGCUGGCGGCAUGCUUUACACAUGCAAGUCGAACGGUAACAGGGAGCUUGCUCCGCUGACGAGUGGCGAACGGGUGAAUAAUGCAUCGGAACGUGCCUAGUUGUGGGGGAUAACGUAGCGAAAGUUACGCUAAUACCGCAUACGCCCUGAGGGGGAAAGCGGGGGAUUCGUAAGAACCUCGCGCAAUUAGAGCGGCCGAUAUCAGAUUAGGUAGUUGGUGGGGUAAAGGCUCACCAAGCCAACGAUCUGUAGCUGGUCUGAGAGGACGACCAGCCACACUGGAACUGAGACACGGUCCAGACUCCUACGGGAGGCAGCAGUGGGGAAUUUUGGACAAUGGACGCAAGUCUGAUCCAGCCAUUCCGCGUGCAGGAUGAAGGCCCUCGGGUUGUAAACUGCUUUUGUACGGAACGAAAAGGUCUCUAUUAAUACUAGGGGCUCAUGACGGUACCGUAAGAAUAAGCACCGGCUAACUACGUG
rnacentral:rRNA from 1 species